GUAUAAGAGACCGAUUGAUUCAUAACAAGGCAUGGCUAACGUUUUUGAGUAUAAUUUGAUCAUAUCGCAUCUUAGAACUACCAACUUAGACAUUGAUUUUAUCUGCUUUUAUCUAAUGCUUUGGUUUUGAGUCCCCACCUUCAAACCUCUCAUUCAGCUAUGUCUUCUUAUUUGCUUGAGGGCAAGCAAAUAUUAAGUUUGGGGGAGUUGAUAUGUCUAUAAUUUGCAUGUUUUCUGUGUUCAUUCUUAUUCAUUUUGAGUCUAGUUUCAUGUCAUUCAUCACUGUUUUAUAUCAUUCUUCAUCAUUCUUGCAUACUUUGCAUGAUUAGGAUAGGUUUGCAUACAUAUUGCAUUUUUGAGUUGUGUUCAGGUGAUUUGGAGCGGUUGAUGAGCAAAUUGGAAGAAGCGAGUCGGAACCAGAAGAUAUACUCGACCACCUGGUAGAGUUACUCUAGCAGCACACUCGACCCCCUAGUCGAGUAACAUUGGAGCCAUUCUUACCAAUCACUAGACCCCCUGGUCGAGUAACCAUACUCCAGGCCACUCGAUGACACCACUCGACCACUGGGUCGAGUAACACUUUGUCACACCACCUGACCACCACUCUGACGUUCACUCGGCCACGUUACUCGACCACGAAGUCGAGUAUCAUCACUCACCACCACUCGGCCAUACACUCUACCACCUUACUCGACCCACUGGUCGAGUAUAUCCUUCAUCAUCAUCGCCAUCACUCGUUCGAGCACUCGACCACAUCUUCAGAGUCUACUCAAAUCCACACUCAACGAGACAAGCAGAGCACAAGGAAGAGAAGAGGAGAAGAAGAAGUGUUUGGAAGCGGUCAGGAGCUUCAUCCGAUCACGAAGCCCAUCUCGGCCCAUGAUCACUCUAUGGGCCGGGCAAUU
rnacentral:sRNA from 1 species